AUUGAUUAAACCACAUAUGUUCCAAUCUUGCUCUUGCUAUACGAACCACUAAGGUUUGAGUAUUUCUUUCUUUAUACUGUUGAUUUCCUUCUUUAUUUCUGAUCGACACCUAUUCCUUUUUCCAUAAACUCGCUGCUUCCUUUCUCUUUCUUGUGACAUCGAUCUCUUUCUUUCUUGCUAAGCGACGUUGACCUCUUCCCGUCCGUUUGUUUUCUUUUGGCUCCUCUUUCUCUCUUUCUAUCUUAAGGAUUUGAAGAUUUGAGCCCGACUUUCUUUCUUGUUGAACUUGCUAGUUAACUUUCGUUAAACAAGUAUCUUGCUUGAUAUCAAUUGCCAAAAACAUAACCUUGAUACUCGCUUUCCAAACUGUGCUACUUUCUUGCUAACUUGUUUCCCUGCGAAGAUCAUACCUUUGCAACUCUCCUACUUUGAUUGGUUCCGUCCCAAUCAUACCAUUUUCAUAAAAUCGACGAUGUGAAUAACGAAACUUGCCGCAUUCAUUAUAAUUUUCAACUUGCAUGUGUGCUUUAAUCUUUCUUGACGGAGGUUGUAGAUACAUUAAGGUGUGUUAGCUUGGUUUUAUCAAAUGCCAAUUGUUGUUUUUGUUUCAAUUAACCGGCCAUUGAUCAGCCUACUUGCUGCUUGCUUGACACCUACUUGUCUGCUUCUAGAUUUUGGUCUGAUAAUUGACCAAUCUAGUUGCUUACUUCAAAAAUUAAAUACUUGCUUGGUUCCUUCGAUGAUCUCAGCCGUAAGAAUUGCUUCACGUGUGUGCAUGCUUGUUUACUUUCAAUUACAACCUGCUUGUGUUAUGAACAUUAUGUGUCCAAGCCUAACUAUCAUUUAUAACACUACAAUUGCCCAAUCAAGCAGCCCAUUAGUAAAAGUCUAACAAGAAAAUGAUUGCAAAUUUGGAAUGUUUUGAUGCAGGUUAUAAACACAAGGAUAAGAGAGAAUAUGAUUAUGAAUUAGCUUGUAAGUGAUUUGUUCUAGUUUCUCAUCUUGUUCUCCCUGUAUUUCCCGUAUCUCAUAAUUAAUAUGAAUUAUUGCUAGCUUUUGCCCUAAAAUCCAUUGUUGACUACUUAGUUCAAUAUUUGUUCACUUCACCUUGCUCCACCUUUUUUAUGGAACUAAACCUUCACCUUUUGAAUUAAUCCGGUCGAUGGCUUCAAUUAAUUGAGAAGGCUGCUUGCUUACUGCGAAUUCAGUCUUGCUGUGGUAGGUAAUCACUACCACGGAAACACCUGUUCUUCUACCCUGCAAUUUUAGGGGCUACUCCCCCUUUUCCGAACACAAUUCUCAAACCAACCCUCGUUUUUAAACCUCACUAAUCCCACAUUAUGAGCAUAUAUAUCUAAUACCAAUUGUUGGGUUUUCAAGCUUUACUCGCACAAGAACAAAACUAAAACUCACUAACCGCUAACUAAUAACUAGGGUCACUAACCCAUUAAUCCACUAGCUUAAUCUUUCUAAACACUUUAACAAAAAAGCACAUGACUAAUUACCAAAACUUGACCCAUUAAAAACCUAUUGACCCAAUCGUAGUAAAUACUUCUACUGACCAGACUUUUAUGACAUGCAAGCCGUAUUAUUUUAUGUGCAUCGAUGAUUAAAUUUUAGGCCAUAAGUUGGAAAUAUCUAUUUUCUACUUCUACCACCAAUUUGCGCACAGUGCAAAAAGUUAACUCUUUGAGGCAACCAACACCAUGCCCAUAAAUUUUCUUAUGGAGCCAAGACCUUGUAGUAGUAACUCGUAAUUGUAAAAUAAUAUAAGUUAAGAAUCAGGAUUUUCAUAUUUUUGCUGCCAGAAAUCUAUUAAUAAGUGAUCCACACAAUACAAAAUCUUGAAUUCAAAAACGAUUUCGUAAGCUGUUAAUAUUGAAGAUUUUCUCGACCUUAGAAUCGAGUUAGGACUUAUUAUCGUAAUUUCAGUUUGCUAUUAAUGCAUUAGGAUUUACCUUUUAGGGAUUGCAACAAACUCAAACCUGACUUGUACACCCGAUAACAAAGCAUCAGGGAAGGGUAAUGCUACAUAAUUCAGAUAUGAAUAUGCGGUUAGGUUUAAAAUAUUUAGAGGUAUAGGAUGGGAUGGGAUGGGAUGGCGGUAUGUUUGUAUUUUAUUUUCUUUUUUCAUUGGUAAUAAAAUAACUCACUAAUUCCCUUGGGCAUUAAAAUUAUUUAAAAAGGGUGAAUUUUUACAAAAUAAUUGGAGUACCUGAUAUUUGACGAGCAAUUAGUCGACAUGCACCUCAUGGGUAUACCUGAUAAAAUAACAACCCGUGAUGAUUAGAUAUAAUCCGACCUAAGGAAUUGAUUGAAUUACACUCAAGAACACUGGAAAGAUGAAUUGGAAUAAACACAUGAUGAAAAACGUUUUGGCUCAAUUGACUCAAGCACAGUGAUGAACAAUACAUAUGGCUAAAGUUCUACAAGAAUAAUGGCUCACCACUUAUUUAUACUCUAUAAAGUAAUCGCCGAUGGAGAGUGUGAAACACGGGUGUUUAGGUGCUUAUCUUACAUGUUUUGUGCGGUUUUAUAUGAUUAUAUGUUUAGAAUUGGAUUAUUGCGAGUGGUUGUAUGUUUGCAGGUUAAUCGCAUGAACUGGGUGAAGUUACGGAAUUUAACGAUGAAGCGGAACAUGUGAUGUUAAUAAAGGCGGCCAACGGAAGCAUUCGGGAAUGUUUCGGGUCGAAAUGGAUGGUUUGGAUAUGCAAAGAAUGCGAAAGCAUUAAAGUUCAAGGGCCAAUUGCCGUCUAGAACAUUAUUUUGGAGGGGGGCAGCCGUAUAACCUCACUUUUUGGCACUCAACUCAGUAUCGGGAUCGUUCAUCAUACAUCUUCCGCACAAGAUCCUACUCGAUCAUGAAUUCGACUUUCGCCCAAGCUUCGGAAGAUUGUUCGCACAUCAUGAGCGGCUAGUCGUCCCGUGACCAUCUCCGGGACUAGGGUUUAUGUUUGAACAUUGGGUUUGCGUAUGUUACGACUUUUUGGAUUAGGAUUCGAUUAAACUUUCGGUUAGUCGUUCCUAUUGUUUUUGUUUUGAUUAAACAAUAUUUAAUUAUCGUAAUCGUUUCAGUUC
rnacentral:lncRNA from 1 species